CCCCAUCCCGGAAUUGCUGCUUAUGCUCUAUUAACUUGCACUGUUCUCCUAGAGGCCCCUGCUGAGCAGGGCAGAUGAUUUGCCCCAACCUUCCCCUGUCAUGAUCCUCUCUUGCUGCCCCCACGGAUUCAGUUUUCAUGCCCUCCCCAACUCCAAACGCUGGUGGUUGGACAGGAACUAAAGCCUUCCCAGUGCAAGACGCCUCGGUGCCCUGUGCUUCGUCAGGCUGACACAGGAUGUUAUCUCUCCUUUUUCAGAAGAGUAACACGUUACUUGAUGCUCUGUAGAAAUCCAAGCUCCACACGGUCCCCAAUGGAGGAGUUAGAGAAAGGACUGAAGGAGCCACCAACCAAUGAGUACAGAUGGAGGGACCCAUGGCUCCAACUGCAUAUGGAGGGACCCAUGGCUCCAGCUGCAUAUGGAGGGACCCAUAUCCAGCAGAGCAUGGCCUUGUCAUGAAUCAAUGGGAGGAGUCCUUGGUCCUGUGAAGGCUUGAUGCCCCAGUGCAGGGGAAUUCGAGGGUGGGGAG
rnacentral:lncRNA from 1 species